rnacentral:rRNA from 1 species
AGUGAACGCUGGCGGUAGGCCUAACACAUGCAAGUCGAACGGCAGCACAGUAAGAGCUUGCUCUUACGGGUGGCGAGUGGCGGACGGGUGAGGAAUACAUCGGAAUCUACUUUUUCGUGGGGGAUAACGUAGGGAAACUUACGCUAAUACCGCAUACGACCUACGGGUGAAAGCAGGGGAUCUUCGGACCUUGCGCGAUUGAAUGAGCCGAUGUCGGAUUAGCUAGUUGGCGGGGUAAAGGCCCACCAAGGCGACGAUCCGUAGCUGGUCUGAGAGGAUGAUAAGCCACACUGGAACUGAGACACGGUCCAGACUCCUACGGGAGGCAGCAGUGGGGAAUAUUGGACAAUGGGCGCAAGCCUGAUCCAGCCAUACCGCGUGGGUGAAGAAGGCCUUCGGGUUGUAAAGCCCUUUUGUUGGGAAAGAAAAGCAGCAGGUUAAUACCCCGCUGUUCUGACGGUACCCACAGAAUAAGCACCGGCUAACUUCGUG